CCAGACUCCUACGGGAGGCAGCAGUCGGGAAUAUUGCGCAAUGGAGGAAACUCUGACGCAGUGACGCCGCGUAUAGGAAGAAGGUUUUCGGAUUGUAAACUAUUGUCGUUAGGGAAGAUAAAAGACUGUACCUAAGGAGGAAGCCCCGGCUAACUAUGUGCCAGCAGCCGCGGUAAUACAUAGGGGGCAAGCGUUAUCCGGAAUUAUUGGGUUUAAAGGGUGCGUAGGCGGACUGUUAAGUCAGCGGUAAACGCCCGGGGCACACCCCCGGCGAGCCGUUGAAACUGGCUGUCUUGAGAUGUCGAGAGGUAUGCGGAAUGCGCAGUGUAGCGGUGAAAUGCUUAGAUAUUGCGCAGAACUCCGAUUGCGAAGGCAGCAUACCGGCGGCGAUCUGACGCUGAGGCACGAAAGCGUGGGUAUCGAACAGGAUUAGAUACCCCGGUAU
rnacentral:rRNA from 1 species